GGCAAUGUGAUGUUGGAAGGGAGUAUGUUUUAAUGAAUUAACUGAAAUAUAGCUGAUAUACAAUAUUAUAUUGGUUUCAGGUGUAUGAUAUAGGGACAAUUGCCUACAUUACAAACUGCUGUCCACAAUAUAUUUACCAUCUGUCAACAAACAAAGAUAUUACAGUACUAGUGACUAUAUUCCCUAUGCUGUACUUUCAUUUCUGUGAGUUAACAAUUCCCUAAUAGCACCUAACGCCCGGUAGAAGGUGAACUUGGAGCACCAACCUGAAGCAGUGAGCAGUGAGCCAGGUGGGUAUCUGGGGGAAGAACAUUCUAAGCAGAGGGAAAGCCAGUGAAAAGGCCCGGCAGCUGGAGGAUUCCAGGUUGCAUUCCAGGAACUGCAAGGACGCCAGUGUAGCUGGAACUGAGCAAGGGAGCCCAGGGGAGAGGGUAGGGUACGAGGGCAGAGAGGGAAGGGACCAAAUCCCCCAGAGCUUUGGGGGCCCACGGUGAGAACUUGGGCUUUCCUAGGAAUGAGCUGGAAAGCGUGGAUGAGUUGGAGGCGAAGAAGAACUUGACCUUCGGGAAGCGGGAACAGUCGCCCUCUGGCUGUGCUGUGAGGGAACAGACUGGGGGAAGGGAGGGCUCGCGCCUGCAAGGACGCUCCGACCCUCCCGCUUCGGAUGCCUGUGGCGAGUCCAGGUGGUCACCCGUGCUUCCGAUCCACAGGCUAUGCCUAGACUGGAGGUUCCCACCACCCCGUCCUUGGGUUGGGUUACGCUGCUGGAGUGGCUCACAGAACUCAGAGAAACAGUCACUCAACGAGAUGACCGAUUUAUUAUGAAAGCAUGUAAGUCAGGAACGGCCAGAUGGAACGGAUACGUAAAACGAGGCACAGGGAAAGGGGUGCAGAGCUUUCGUGCUGCCUCAGCGCACCACUCUCCCCAAAUCUCCACGUGUCCACCAACCCAAAAGCUCUCCAAACCCUGUCCUUUUGGGUUUUUAAUGGAGGCUUCAUGACGGAGACUUGAUGGAGGAAAGCACCUGCCGGUCAGUGAUGGAUUCAACCUCCAGGUCCAGCCCGCCAACCACUGCGGUUGGUUCCUUGGCAACCAGCCCCCAUCCUCAGGUGCUUUCUAAAAGUCACCUCCUUAGAUUAAACUCGGCUGUGGUUGAAAGGGGUUCACUGUGUGUAGUAAGACACCUUUAUCGUUCUUCUCCUUUAGGAAAUUCCGAGGGUUUUAGGAGCUGCGCGCUAGAAAUGGGAAUGAAGACCAACUACGUAUUUCUUAUUAGAAAUCAAAAUAUCACAGGGUAGAUCCCAACUCGGGGCUUUACUGAAUCCAGUUUAUGACAAUGUCCAGAGACUACCGAUCAGCCUGCUCCCGUGGUUGUGUUAAUUGCUUCCCAUCCCCCAGCUGUGCAAGGGUUUGGCUGCCAGCCAACGCUGGGUAUUUUCAGUGAGGUUUUCAUUUUUACUUUAGUGUUUCUGCAGGUCUUUUGUUUUUUUUUCCAUUUGUUGUUCCAUUCUAGUCGAGUGUUGAUUUUUAAAAAAUAAACUUUCAAGUUCAGAGUAGCUUUAGAUUUCCAGAAAAGUUGCAAAGAUGGCACAGAGAGUUCCUGUACCCUUCACCCAGCCUCCCGAAUAUGAACACCCUAAUACCUAAGGUGUAUUUGUCCAAGCACCCACCCAGGAUGCCACUUUGCGUGUAGUUGCCACGUGGCCUGUUUCCCUCCUCAUCUAGGGAUGCAGAGGAAUAUUUGACACAAAGAAAAGAGAAGGGGAUGUGAAGACAGAGAAGAGAGAGAUCUGAAGAUGCUGGCCUUGGAAACUGGAGCGAGGUGGCCCUAAGCCAAGGAAUGCCAGGACCCAGUAGAAGCUGGAGAAGUGCCCACGGAGAGACUACAUUUCCCAGCCUCCCUUGCAUGGAGGUGGGGUCGUGUGACUGGUUCUGGACGAUGGAGCGCAGGCAAGAGAGCUCUGCUGCACUUCCAGGUCUGGUCCGUAAACAUCUCCCAGCAUGUCCGUCUUUCUCUUCUCCACCUGCUGUUUGGAUGCGGACGCCAGUGUAUUAGUUAUUCAUUGCUGUGUAACAAAUUACCCGCCAAAGUCCUCCUACCUUAAGGUAAAUAACACAUUUAUUAUCUCACAUAGUUUCUGAGGCUCAGGAAUCCAGAGCAGCGUAGCCAGGUGGUUCUGGCCCAGGCUUUGUCACGAGGUUUCAGCCGAGCCGCUAGCGAGGGCUGUAGGCAUCUGAAGGCUCACCCAGGGCGGACGAUGCAUUUCCAGGCUUGUUCACAUGGCUGUUGGCUGGAGGCCUCAGUCCCUUGUUGGCGGUUGGCCUCUCCGUAAGCUGUUUGACAUCCUCAUGGCGCAGCCGCUAGCUUCCCCCAAAGGAAGUGAUGAGAGAAAGAGAGGAGGAGCCCCAGACACAAGCCCCAGUCGUUAUAACCCAGUCAGUGUUGAAGUGAUAUCCUGUCAUCCGGCCAUGUCCUACUGGUCACACAGACCAACCCUAGUAUGCUGUGGGCGAGGACUGGGCAGGUGGGGAUCACUGGGCUUUACCCUGGAGCCCGGCCGCCAUGCCCAGGGGAGCCACGUGUUACGAUAAUACAGAUACCAUCAUAGCCCAGCUUCCUGCUCUGCCUCUGCUGAUCAGAUUUUAAUUGACACUUCAGAGAUUAUCUGCCUCAGUGGUUAAUCUCGCUUUAACAAAUACAGAGAUCAACUGCCAACCGGGCAGGAUGUGUCGUUUCAGCCGAACACCUAACACUUUGUGACUUUACUAUGUGCAGAUAAAACUGAUUAAGAAAAUAGAUAUGAAAAAAAGGGAAUACAGAAAACCAACCCCAUCGAUCCAACAGAAGGAAGGAAUGAGAAAAAUAACUCGGAGUAAACUCCAAGUGGAUCAAAGAUUUCAGUGUAAAAUAUUAAACCAUAAGAGAGUAAGUAAACACUGGAAAAUUCCUUUGUAACCCGAGUAUGGACACAGCCUUUUUGAGUUGUGACUCAAGAUCCAGAAUUAUAAAAGAAAACACGGGCACAUUCAUCUGUGCGGACCUGGACCCACAUUCUUCCUCUUCCCCUUUCCUUCCUGAGCAGCGCCGUUCUAAGCCCUUUUGGGGGAGCAGCGAAGGCCAGCUUGGGGUGGGGGUGGGGACAGAGGCGCAGAAUGGGGUGUCAGGGCUUCCUGGGGUGCGGACACUCCUGCUGCUACGGCUCCGUACCGUGGGGAGCAGUGGAGUGGGGGGUGUCUGUGCCAGGAGUGGGGCUGGCGGACCUCGGGAGGGGAAGCGCAAGCCGCGGGCGGAGGAGGGCCGGGGUGACAAACGGGCCACCUGGUCAAAGAAGGAAAUGAAGGAAAAUGGCAGUCGGACUUGUCACUGCCGGAGAAGGGGGCGGGGGCGGGGACAGAUACGGAAAGAGAGGAAGUUAGGGGUGUUGGACCUGAAUGGAUAAAUCACCGUGAAUUCAGGGUUUUCAGUAUAUACACAGAUAGAUGUGGAAAUAUAUAAUUGCUUAUAAACCUAACCUAGAUCUGUGUGUAUGUGCAGAAUAAAUACAGAAUAUGUAACAUACAUUACGUGUGCACGUGCAAUAAGCAAUGUGAGAUACUCUGUCUGUCGGUCUCUAUGAUCCGUACACUGGGAGAGCCUGUAAGCAGCAAAAACCCCAAAGAAACAGCAAGCCCCUCGGGGUUCAGAUCUUGGGCUGCCCCGUUUCUCUACCAGAGGGGCCCAGAGCUCCUUCGAGUAAUGGCUGACUCUAGAUGGGAGCUACAGAAAGAGCAAAAUGAUCCUGGCACAUUUUGCGAUUAAGGAAGCAAGGAAAUGCUCAGCAAAUGGUGGGGGGAUGUCAACAGGACCCAGAAAUCUGCGUGAAGACGCUCCCCCUGGAAAAUAUUGGGUGUAAUAUCUCCAUUCAUCACCAGGACUAAAUAAAGUUACCCCCUUCAAACAAACAGGGAAACAAAACAUCACAAAGAAGUCAUUCUGACCACUAAAAAUAAACAAUGAGAGUAAUUUUCUUCCUGAUUAUAGUUAAUAGAAUAGGAAUAAAUAGGAAUGAGUCCAGGCAGACAGAAAUGAAUAACUUGAGGUUUGCUGAGGAGUAAGAUAUUUACAUGGUCUCAAAGUAUCUCCCUACACAGUUCUCAUUAGUUACAGAAAGCUUAACUUUGCCAUGGAUAAGACAGGCAGAUGCCCCCUUGAUCAUAUGGCCAAAACAAAUAACGUGAGUAACGGGGGAAAAGGAGAUCAGAAGCCCCCUCCCCUUCAAUGAGAAGAACGCAGUCACAAAAACACAAUCAGUAGUUUUGCUGCUGAAGAAUCUGAUCACGAGGAAACAUCAGCCAAACACACACGGAGGGACAGAUUACAGAACUGGCUCGUGAUCUUCAAAGAUGUCAAGGUCGUGCAAGUCAGGCAUGACUGAGGAAUAUUCUUUCCUGGAAGAGAUGACAACCGAUGGGAUGCGAGGCUCCAAGCUCCGGGCUUUUGUUACAAAGAGUAUAAUUGGGACAACCAGGAAACCUCGCCUGAGGUCUGAGGAUGCCAGGAUGGUGGUGUAUUAUUUGGAUGGUGGUGCUGCGGUACUGGAAGAGAAUGCCUUUGUCAGUCAUGACCCUGCCUUACCCUCAAAGGUUCUGGAAAAUAAGAGAUGCUUGUACUGUACUUCCAACAUGUUUUAUAAGUUUGCGAUUGUUUCACGGUUAAGAAAAAGUCUUAUUUUUUUAGGAGGAAACUUUGCCUGGUAAAUUAAACACCUAAAGCAAAUUCACAAGAUAAAUGACAAAUGGAGGGAAAUAUUUGCAACUCAUACUCAAAGAGCUAAUUUUUAGAAAUUUUUUAUUAAGGUA